rnacentral:rRNA from 1 species
AGUAAAAGUCGUAACAAGGUUUCCGUAGGUGAACCUGCGGAAGGAUCAUUAUCGUGCAACAGAGGCGCGAGGGCUGUCGCUGACUCGNAAAAGGUCGUGCACGCCCGAGCGCUCUCACGCAUCCGUUUCACCCCUUUGUGCACCGCCGCGUGGGUCGUCCUCCCUCCGAGGGUGGGCGGCUUGCGUUUUUACACAAACCCCCACGUAACGUAACAUUAGAAUGUUUUUACCUUUUGCGGUGACACGCAAUCAAUACAACUUUCAACAACGGAUCUCUUGGCUCUCGCAUCGAUGAAGAACGCAGCGAAAUGCGAUACGUAAUGUGAAUUGCAGAAUUCAGUGAAUCAUCGAAUCUUUGAACGCACCUUGCGCCUCUUGGUAUUCCGAGGGGCACACCCGUUUGAGUGUCGUGACAUCCUCAACCUUCUCGAUCUUUGCGAUCGGGGAAGGCUUGGACUUUGGGGGUUUUAUGCUGGCCUCUCCGGAAGCCAGCUCCCCUUAAAUGGAUUAGUGGGGUUCGCUUUGCCGAUCCUCGACGUUGAUAAGAUGUUUCUACGUCUUGGGUUGGGCACUGUCUUUCGGGAACCUGCUUCUAACCGUCUCGCGAGAGACGACGCGUUUGAACCUUGACCUCAAAUCGGGUGAGACUACCCGCUGAACUUAAGCAUAUCAAUAAGCGGAGGAAAAGAAACUAACAAGGAUUCCCCUAGUAACUGCGAGUGAAGCGGGAAAAGCUCAAAUUUAAAAUCUGGUGGUCUUCUGGCCAUCCGAGUUGUAAUUUANAGAAGCGUCUUCCGCG